CGGCACGCCUUAUACAUGCAAGUCGAACGCAGUAGCAAUACUGAGUGGCAGACGGGUGAGUAUAAUGUGGGAAUCUGCCUUUUGGUUUGGAAUAACUUGGGGAAACUUGAGCUAAUACCGGAUAAGCCCUUACGGGGAAAGAUUUAUCGCCGAAAGAUGAGCCCGCACUUGAUUAGCUUGUUGGUGAGGUAAAAGCUCACCAAGGCAACGAUCAAUAGCUGUUCUUAGAGGAAGACCAGCCACAUUGGGACUGAGACACGGCCCAGACUCCUACGGGAGGCAGCAGUAGGGAAUCUUGCACAAUGGGGGAAACCCUGAUGCAGCGAUGCCGCGUGAGUGAAGAAGGCCUUUGGGUUGUAAAACUCUUUCGUCGGGGAAGAAAAUGACUGUACCCGAAUAAGAAGGUCCGGCUAACUUCGUGCCAGCAGCCGCGGUAAUACGAAGGGACCUAGCGUAGUUCGGAAUUACUGGGCUUAAAGAGCUCGUAGGUGGUUAAAAAAGUUGGUGGUGAAAUCCCAAGGCUUAACCUUGGAACUGCCAUCAAAACUUUUUAGCUAGAGUGUGAUAGAGGAAAGUGGAAUUUCUAGUGUAGAGGUGAAAUUCGUAGAUAUUAGAAAGAACACCAAAAGCGAAGGCAACUUUCUGGAUCAUUACUGACACUGAGGAGCGAAAGCAUGGGUAGCGAAGAGGAUUAGAUACCCUCGUAGUCCAUGCUGUAAACGAUGUGUGCUAGACGUUGGAAAUUUAUUUUCAGUGUCGCAGCGAAAGCGUUAAGCACACCGCCUGGGGAGUACGACCGCAAGGUUAAAACUCAAAAUGAAUUGACGGGGACCCGCACAAGCAGUGGAGCAUGUGGUUUAAUUCGAAGAUACGCGCAGAACCUUACCAACUCUUGACAUGUCCGUCGCGACUCGUAGAGAUAUGAGUCUUCGGUUCGGCCGGACGGAACACAGGUGCUGCAUGGCUGUCGUCAGCUCGUGUCGUGAGAUGUUGGGUUAAGUCCCGCAACGAGCGCAACCCCUACGUUUAGUUACUAACAUUUAGUUGAGUACUCUAGACGAACUGCCAGUGAUAAGCUGGAGGAAGGCGGGGAUGACGUCAAGUCCUCAUGGCCCUUACGUGUUGGGCUACACACGUGCUACAAUGGCACUUACAAUGAGAUGCGAAGAGGCGACUCUAAGCCAAUCCCAAAAAUGUGCCUCAGUUCGGAUUGUACUCUGCAACUCGAGUACAUGAAGCUGGAAUUGCUAGUAAUCGCGGAUCAGCGCGCCGCGGUGAAUACGUUCCCGGGUCUUGUACACACCGCCCGUCACACCAUGGAAGUUGGUUACACCUUAAGGCAAAGCUUAAAACCUUUGACUACGGUACGAUCAGCGACUGGGGUGAAGUCGUAACAAGGUAGCCGUAGGGGAACCUGCGGCUGGAUCACCUCCU
rnacentral:rRNA from 1 species